UACGUAGGGGGCAAGCGUUGUCCGGAUUUAUUGGGCGUAAAGCGCGUGUAGGCGGCCAGGUAGGUCCGCUGUGAAAACCCGAGGCUCAACCUCGGGACGUCGGCGGAAACCAUCUGGCUAGAGUCCGGAAGAGGAGAGUGGAAUUCCCGGUGUAGCGGUGAAAUGCGCAGAUAUCGGGAAGAACACCCGUGGCGAAGGCGGCUCUCUGGGGCGGUACUGACGCUGAGACGCGAAAGCGUGGGGAGCGAACAGG
rnacentral:rRNA from 1 species